GCCAGACUCCUACGGGAGGCAGCAGUGAGGAAUAUUGGUCAAUGGGCGCGAGCCUGAACCAGCCAAGUCGCGUGAGGGAAGACGGUCCUAUGGAUUGUAAACCUCUUUUGUCGGGGAGCAAAAGACGCCACGUGUGCGGUUUGGAGAGUACCCGGAGAAAAAGCAUCGGCUAACUCCGUGCCAGCAGCCGCGGUAAUACGGAGGAUGCGAGCGUUAUCCGGAUUUAUUGGGUUUAAAGGGUGCGUAGGCGGAAUGCCAAGUCAGCGGUAAAAUCGGGGGGCUCAACCUCGCUCCGCCGUUGAAACUGGCGUUCUUGAGUGGGCGAGAAGUAUGCGGAAUGCGUGGUGUAGCGGUGAAAUGCAUAGAUAUCACGCAGAACUCCGAUUGCGAAGGCAGCGUACCGGCGCCCAACUGACGCUCAUGCACGAAAGCGUGGGUAUCGAACAGGAUUAGAUACCCGCGUA
rnacentral:rRNA from 1 species